rnacentral:misc_RNA from 1 species
UCUCCGUUGGUGAACCAGCGGAGGGAUCAUUACCGAGUUUUCAACUCCCAAGCCCCUGUGUACUUGUACGUUUACUGUUGCUUCGGCGGGUUAUUGCCCCGGGGAAACAGGCGGCGGCCAGGUCCCUGCCCCCCCGGAAGCAGGCACCCGCCGGGGGACUCCAACUCUUCUGUAUUUUUUUGUUUACUGUAUCCUGUCUGAGUAAAAAUUCAUAAUGAUUAACAACUUUCAACUACGCAUCUCUUUCUUCUGGCAUCGAUGAAGAACGGAGCAGAACGG